rnacentral:lncRNA from 1 species
UGCAGUGGCCACCCAUCUCUUUGACCUCCUCUUCUCUCUCCUCUGCAGUUUCUUCUGCCUGGCCAACACCUCCUCUGUGGCUGGAAAUGAGUGUCCUGCUGGCCACUACUGCCCUGCCUCCACCGCCUUCGCUUCUCAGUUCCCCUGCCCCAGGGGCACCUACAAGCCACAGAGAGGGGGUGUCCAGCAGUCAGACUGCAUCCCCUGUGAGCCAGGCUCCUAUUGUCUCCUGCCUGGGCUAGUGGCCGUGUCAGGGCCCUGCAGUCCAGGGUUCCACUGUACCCAGGGAGCAUCUGUUCCGAAUCCCGACGGGGUCACUGGAGACCUCUGCCCUCCAGGCCACUUCUGUCCCCAGGGCAGCCCCCAGCCUGCUCCUUGCCCCCCAGGCUCGUUCCUGCCCAUCCCGGGUGCCACGUCGAUGGAGGACUGCCAGCCAUGCCCAGCUGGCUGGUUCUGCUCCCAGGCCGGCCUGAGCUCCCCGGAGGCCCUGUGUGAUGGAGGCUGGUACUGCCCCAGGGCGUCCAUCUCUGGGCACAGUCCAGGUAAGAGCAGACGGGGUGAGGGCUGGUGCUGUGGGACCUCCGGUGAGUCGGUUGGGAAGGAGACAUGGCCAUGGGCUCCCCAUCUGCUCUUAGCUCCUGCUCCUCUGGCUCCCAAGCGUGUGGUAGGAAGGGUGGGAAACACUGUUUUUCCGAGGCUCCUCGUGCACCCAGAGCUCAGCACCCUGAUAUGAAAGGGGGAUGGGAGAAUCCUUGUGGGAAGAAAUGGAAGAACCAAGAAGGAUUUUUUUUUUUUUUUUUUUUGAGACGGAGUUUCGCUUCUGUUGCCCAGGCUGGAGUGCAAUGGUGCAAUCUCUGCUCACCACAACCUCUGCCUUCCAGGUUCAAGUAAUUCUCCUGCCUCAGCCUCCCGAGUAGCUGGGAUUACAGGCACACGCCGCCACACCUGGCUAGUUUUGUAUUUUUAGUAGAGACGGAGUUUUCAUGUUGUUCAGGCUAAUCUCGAACUUCUGACAUCAGGUGAUCUGCCCGCCUCAGCCUCCCAAAGUGCUGGGAUUAUAGGCAUGAGGUUAUAUAUAACCGACUUUUUAAAAGUCGGUUAAAUGUGGAGAAUCUUAUGUUUUGAGGAAGGAGAUA